rnacentral:rRNA from 1 species
UACGGGGGGGGUAAGCGUUGUUCGGAAUUACUGGGCGUAAAGGGCUCGUAGGCGGCCAACUAAGUCAGACGUGAAAUCCCUCAGCUUAACUGGGGAACUGCGUCUGAUACUGGAUGGCUUGGAUUCGGGAGAGGAAUGCGGAAUUCCAGGUGUAGCGGUGAAAUGCGUAGACAUCUGGAGGAACACCAAUGGCGAAGGCAGCUCGCUGGGACGGUACUGACGCUGAGACGCGAAAGCGUGGGGAGCAAACAGG